AGCUAAAACACUGGAAGAUGCACCAUUAACAAGAUAAUAGAGGCCACCUUUCUCAUGCCCCAAACCAAUCCUCGUCCCAGUCUGUAGAUCUUGAAAAACAUAGCACGUGGGAAAGAAUGUCAUAGAAUAAUUUUUAGAUUUGGUUAUUUGGCUAGUGGACAAAAGGCUAAUAAGGAAUUUUGGAACAUAAAGCACAUGAUCUAGAAAGUGAUGAGGAAGCACGAACAACUUCCUCACCUAGAACAGGACAAGAAGAGCCAUCAGCAACAGCAAC
rnacentral:lncRNA from 1 species